CUGUCCCAAUAAUUGUAAGCUUUUAUUUAUCUAAUUCAAGUACACACGCUAAUACAUUGCUACUUAAUUGGUGCUUAUUUCCAUAGUUUUUCUAUUUGUGCCAAUCCUUCUUCGGCUUUAUAUAAUAUUGCCUCCUCUAGAAGCUUUUAUGUCUUUUUAUGAUAGACAAAUUUUAUUUUCUUGCUAUUUAAUGCAUGUAGGGAAUUGCAUGGAGAAACUUUUGG
rnacentral:misc_RNA from 1 species